GAAUCUCAACUUAAAGAUCAAAGUCUGGUAAAUUAUAAUGUACCCACUUGUAAGUUGAGUAUAGCAAGUGCUACCAUUGCUACAAUAUGUCUGGCUCUGCUAACUGCCAUUGAGCUAAUCACUGUUUUACUUAAAAUAAAUGCAAAAAAGUUGGUUGCUGGGAUUAUUCAAGUUGGACUCUUUGUUGGUUCUAUUUUGUCCCUAUUGAAUACCACAGUGGUGGUUUCAGCUGGUUGGGCAAAGACCUGUGCUACACACAAUGACUAUGAUCAUUUUAUAACAGGAUCUGGUUCUUUCAUUAGAUUUGAUUGCACUGGACCACAAUAUACUACUAUUAUCUCUCGCUAUGAUUUCACUGAACUUGGACCUUAUCCACCAAAUGGUGCAGAAUUCAUAGCAGCUGCUAUAUGUUCUGGUGUUGGUACUUUGUUAACUAUUGCAGCUUUUUGUAUUUGUAGUGUGAAGCUGAUGAUACGAAAUGAUGAUUGAAUCAUGCCAAACAAUUAAACACUAAUUUCAUGUAGAAACAAUAAUUAUAGUGAUCCUAAUAUUGACACUACUUUUUAGUUGAUUAUCAUGUACUGUCUAUUAGUAAAAUGUAUUACAUAUAGUUAAAGCAA
rnacentral:lncRNA from 1 species